rnacentral:snoRNA from 1 species
GUUGCUUCUUUGUGUUAUAUAUACGUUUGCGCGGAUCGUCUCGAUCGAUCGUGCAUAGAGAAGAAGCAUACAUCAAUUUUCGUUGCCAGUAUUUAACAGCAUGUUGUGACUGUCUUUUUUAAGGCUCUAAUGCAAUAUGUUACCUGUCUUCUGGUAUAUUU